GCCCCAGUAGCUCAGAGGAUAGAGCAGAGGUUUCCUAAACCUUGUGCCGGGGGUUCGACUCCCUCCUGGGGCACCA
rnacentral:tRNA from 1 species